rnacentral:rRNA from 1 species
AGAGUUUGAUCCUGGCUCAGAACGAACGCUGGCGGCAGGCCUAACACAUGCAAGUCGAGCGAGACCUUCGGGUCUAGCGGCGGACGGGUUAGUAACGCGUGGGAACGUACCCUUUUCUAAGGAAUAGCCACUGGAAACGGUGAGUAAUGCCUUAUACGCCCUUCGGGGGAAAGAUUUAUCGGAGAAGGAUCGGCCCGCGUUAGAUUAGAUAGUUGGUGGGGUAAUGGCCUACCAAGUCUACGAUCUAUAGCUGGUUUGAGAGGAUGAUCAGCAACACUGGGACUGAGACACGGCCCAGACUCCUACGGGAGGCAGCAGUGGGGAAUCUUAGACAAUGGGCGCAAGCCUGAUCUAGCCAUGCCGCGUGAGUGAUGAAGGCCUUAGGGUCGUAAAGCUCUUUCGCCUGUGAAGAUAAUGACUGUAGCAGGUAAAGAAACCCCGGCUAACUCCGUGCCAGCAGCCGCGGUAAUACGGAGGGGGUUAGCGUUGUUCGGAAUUACUGGGCGUAAAGCGCGCGUAGGCGGACAUUUAAGUCAGGGGUGAAAUCCCGGGGCUCAACCCCGGAACUGCCCUUGAUACUGGGUGUCUUGAGUUCGAGAGAGGUGAGUGGAAUUCCGAGUGUAGAGGUGAAAUUCGUAGAUAUUCGGAGGAACACCAGUGGCGAAGGCGGCUCACUGGCUCGAUACUGACGCUGAGGUGCGAAA